GCACAUCUAGCUUAGUCGGUAGAGAGCAAGACUUUUAACCUUGUGGUCAUGGGUUCAAGCCCCAUGAUGGGUG
rnacentral:tRNA from 1 species